rnacentral:rRNA from 1 species
AACGAACGCUGGCGGCAGGCCUAACACAUGCAAGUCGAACGGGCCCCUUCGGGGGUCAGUGGCAGACGGGUGAGUAACACGUGGGAACGUGCCUUUCGGUUCGGAACAACUCCGGGAAACUGGAGCUAAUACCGGAUACGCCCCUUGGGGGAAAGAUUUAUCGCCGAAAGAUCGGCCCGCGUCUGAUUAGCUUGUUGGAGAGGUAACGGCUCACCAAGGCGACGAACAGUAGCUGGUCUGAGAGGAUGAUCAGCCACACUGGGACUGAGACACGGCCCAGACUCCUACGGGAGGCAGCAGUGGGGAAUAUUGGACAAUGGGAGCAAGCCUGAUCCAGCCAUGCCGCGUGAGUGAUGAAGGCCCUAGGGUUGUAAAGCUCUUUCGGCGGGGACGAUAAUGACUGUAGCCGGAGAAGAAGCCCCGGCUAACUUCGUGCCAGCAGCCGCGGUAACAC